rnacentral:rRNA from 1 species
AUACGUAGGUGGCAAGCGUUGUCCGGAAUUACUGGGUGUAAAGGGCGUGUAGGCGGGGAUGCAAGUCAGAUGUGAAAUUCCGGGGCUCAACCCCGGCACUGCAUCUGAAACUGUGUCUCUUGAGUGCUGGAGAGGAGAGCGGAAUUCCUAGUGUAGCGGUGAAAUGCGUAGAUAUUAGGAGGAACACCAGUGGCGAAGGCGGCUUUCUGGACAGUAACUGACGCUGAGGCGCGAAAGCGUGGGUAGCGAACAGGAUUAGAUACCCUGGUAGUCCACGCCGUAAACGAUGGAUACUAGGUGUAGGAGGUAUCGACCCCUUCUGUGCCGGAGUUAACACAAUAAGUAUCACACCUGGGGAGUACGGCCGCAAGGUUGAAACUCAAAUGAAUUGGCGGGG